UUUAAGCGCAUUCAUGAGUUUCCGUGUCAUCUUUGAUAGUCCGUUUUCUUUGAAAUUUUUUUAUGAUUAGUAUUUUUAUUGUUAUAAGAUGAUAAAACAUAAAUAGUACUUUAUGCGUGACUUGUAUUUUAUUUUUUUUUAAAUUUUUUUUAAAUAAGACAGAUGAUUAAAGUUAGACACUGAGACUUAUUGCUGCGCUUAAA
rfam:Oryza meridionalis cultivar OR44 (W2112) chromosome 2, whole genome shotgun sequence.